GAGAGUUAAUUUUUGGAUUUGUUUAUAUGUUGUUCAAUUUUCUGGUAUACAAAGAAGGACGUGUUUGUUUUUUGCUUGGGUAGGGUUUGAUUAACACACAUUCGUCUUCCUUUGCAUCUACUCCAUCAGUAGAUGACCCAUCAACGCCCGAUUCUUCCUGAACAUUCUCAACAAGAGGAGAAAUCAUCAGUUGUCCUGCCACAACAACCUUUGCUCUUCUAUGGUAAGUGCUUCAAAGUGGAGAAUAGUUUUUAAAAGUGGUCAAGACAAAAAGGAUAGUUCCAGAAAUAAAAAGAAACUCACAGGUGGCUACAUGGAGUGGACAUAAGACAAAAGUUGCAUUCUUACUUCUAUUUGGAAAACAUGUUUUAAGUCUUGAUUUACAAGGUCAUUAUUGGGAGUGAAGAAAGGACUUUACUGUUAUGGAAUAUUAAUACUUAGAAAAAACUUUAUGAUUUUAAGGGACGAGGAUCCUCCAUUCAAUGUUGUGUCUCAUCUCUAGCUUUAGAUGUGGUUCAAAUUGGUUGUGUCGAUGGAAAAAUUCAUGUCCAUAAUUUACGAUUUGAUGAAGAGGUUGUAACAAUUACACAUACAAUUAGAGCAAUUACUGCAUUGGCCUUUAUGACAGAAAUGUAUUGAUAAACUCAAAGAAGAGGAUAAAGUUAGGGUGUUGGAUACGUUUGAUGGUGUUGUUGUGGGCAUUGGGAAGAUUCACUCCCUAUCUAUUAUACAUGGAGUCAACUUGAAAGGAACGGGAGAUGCAAAUGUAAACAUUUUAAAGGUCACAAGUAACAUACCCCUUUCUUAUGAAGACAAAAUAGAUGGAGUUGUCUAUUUGAAAGAGAAAGAGGGAACCUUCACAUAGUGGCCACUAAAAUAUUUGCAAAAAAUGACAUAGUUGAUCAUGUUUAAUAUCAUGUACUAGUUGUUAGACAUCUUGGCUCACUCCUUUAUGUAGUAUUUUGAAUGUGUUGUUCAGGGGUCCUAACUAUCAUGGUGUAUUUGAAAGAGUUGGAAACUCUUAGAUAGCUUUGAUAUUUUUUAUUAUAUUUACAUAUAUAGUCUUAGAUAACUUUGACAUCUUAUAUAUAGAUAGAUAGAUAGAUAUAUUUGCAUUA